rnacentral:tRNA from 3 species
GCCGGCUUAGCACAGUGGUAGUGCAGCGGUUUUGUAAACCGAAGGUCACGAGUUCGAAUCUUGUAGCCGGCACCA